GUCACCGAUAACAAAGCCAUCAGCCAACGGUGCUUCUCACAUGGCAGGCCUUGCAGAACCAUGAGAGGGUGCAUCCAAACAGCCUGCGCCAUUUAGGAAGCAAUCUGGAGUCAGGCUGGCCAAGGUGUCCCUUCUGAGCAGAGCAGCCAAGUGAGGAAGGAACCAAAACCUUUAUCUGCUCAGACUCCUGAGAAUCAGACCCCAGUGGCUUCCGUCUGGGGUCGACAUCAUCGUUAUCCGCUUUCCUUGCCUCGUAGGUUGAGACGUGCCCACAUUGGGGCAGUAUUUUUUUGCCCUGUAGAGAGAGAAAGACUCUUGUACUUUACCAAGCACCAAUUCCCCACCAAUAAACGUGGGGAAGAUUUUCUGGAAGUGCCUUUCCCCUCUGUGCAUCACAUGGCUUCAUGUGCACUUCUAGGGUGUUCACACUUGCUGGGCACCUUGUCCGCAUCCAGCUGAUGCCCAGUUGUGCUGUACUUAAAAUUACACCAACUCUUGCUUCAGCUCAAAUACAUCCUCUCUGAACCUCUCCUUCCUCUUCUGAGCGUGGAAUGAAAAAUGCCAUCUUCCUUAGCGUUGUUGUGAAGACUUAUGGGCGCAGGUUACCUGAAGAGUCUAACGCAGAACCUGAGAUACAGUCAGGUUGUACCACAGGGGGUCAACUGGCCAGUUUCACGGAGAGGACAGUGCCGCUCUUCUCAGCACCCAGUCUCACCAGCAGGAGGGCUUUAGAAACGUCUAGUACAUGAACCGUGGUGAAGCUGUUGUUGUCCUGCUUUGCAAGCGGAGGAUAGGUGAAUUUGUCUGUUUAAGGGAAAGUGUAUGCCUGAUCUAGGAACUUGGCUUCUAUGUUCUUCCUCUAGGAAUUUCUCAAAAAGUUUUUCAUUACAAAUGACUCACAGCUAACUGUCAAACUGGUGUGAGUAAUGAAGUAUAAUUAUGACUUCUCACAGUCCCAGAGGUUUUGCAAGGACCAAACACUAUAUACAGAGUCAUGGUCUCAUGCUUGACUCUUGGGAUUCUAGUAUCUUCUAGACAGCAGAUCUGCCAGGUGUCACAGCCACUCAAGACUGAGAAGAUAGUGAGUGUACUUAGGAAUGAUGGGCUCCUCGAAGGUUCUCAAAGUCCUCGCCUCAUGCCUCAGUGGCUAAGGGUUAUUCCAGUGCAAGUAUCCAAUGUAAUCAGAUUCGCU
rnacentral:lncRNA from 1 species